GAAUCUGUCCAUCGGUCGUGCUUCACUGUUCGUACUGGUGUGGUGGGUUCUUACCUUCUGAAUAACCAGCAUGCCAUUCACUUGGUGCGCUGGGGAAGCAGGACUAUUACCUUGAAAAAAUUAGAGUGUUCAAAGCAGGCGCCUCACGCUUGUAUACAUUAGCAUGGAAUAAUGGAAUAGGACUGUGGUCCCGUUUUGUUGGUUUUCAGGACUGCGGUA
rnacentral:rRNA from 1 species